ACUAAAGGAAUGGUUUGAAAAUAUUAUUCGACCACUCGUCAUUGUCAGUUAAUAGUAAAUAAGUAGUAGUAGUAGUAGUAGUAAGUAAAAUAUUUUAUAAUUCUUCAGCCUGGAAGAUGAUCAGCAUAUUUAAAAGAAGAAAAGAGGCAGCACAAAAGGAGUGUCUCUGACAGUUGUGGAAUCAAUUUGGACCGAAGCCUCCACCAACCUUUAAUUCUAGACUCGACUACUAAAUAGGAUGAAAAUGGAUGAAGAUUCUUGGUUCCCAUCUAUAUCCCCAUCUGCCUGUCAUUGCUAUUUGGGUUUCAUCAGCAAUAAAACUGUUUUAUUGUUUUCCACACGCUUAUUAGUAUUAGAUUAUCCACAGCUAUAAAUAUUUAUUCAUUCAGCACCAUGUCUCUUUAUACUCUAAAUGCACUGUGACAUUGUGUACUGUGUUUUCUGUAAGCUGCUUUCCAUUUCAAAAUGUAAAAGGCUGAGUAGAAUAUUUCACUGCUGUCUUCACACAAAGUAAUCUCAGUGAAACCCUCUGAUCAUCUGUUUUGUGUUGACUUCACGGUAUAAGUAUACUUGCUUGAGACAGAAACCACAUUCAGCAACAAUGGAUUGCAUUUAUGUUUUUUCUUUAUUUUCGUGCCUAUUUACAUUAUAGAUUCUCACUGAAGACAUCAAAACUUGUCUGUUUGUACAGACAAGCUGCCAAACAGUGUUGCAGGAGAACAGACUGUUCUCCAGCACACCUCAGUCUACUGAGAGGAGUACUUGUGGUUUUAAUAAAAAUUAUGUUCUUGUUUAAAGUCCAUUUUGCCAACAUUAAGCGUGACGUAUUUGCAUGUUUGGAAGUGUCUUGAUCUGCCAUCUUUUGGAAAAGAUUUGAAUGCACAAGAUGAAUUUACCUGAAAUGAUUCAUCGGCAUGUAAUGAGGUGAAAUAACCACCAGAUGGCACUUCAUUAUCUAUUAUGCCAGUGGGACCCAAAGUGGGGGCACGGUGGAUAAAAAAAAAAAA